rnacentral:siRNA from 1 species
GGCCCGACUCUUGGGAGGUGCUG